rnacentral:sRNA from 1 species
UGUUUUGUGGGUAGCUGGUCGAGUGAUUAUGGAGGGCCGAGUGAAGCGAUGGAGAGAGAGUGGUGAAAACGACGAGGUUAUGCAGGAGCUGCGGUAGAGUGAACCAAACAGCAAGGUCGAGUAGCGAAUGAUGAGAGUAGAGUCGCGGAUUAGUGAUGAGAUGAUGUAAGAAGAAGUCGAGUGUUGUUAGAGGAGCGGUGAUUCGAGUGAUUGACUCGGAGGAGGAGAAACGGCUGCUUGGUCAAGUGGUGAAGAGGUCGAGUGCUUUAAGACGAUUGAGAGGUGGUGGUGGCGAGGAAUCGUCGAGUGGUAGCUCGAGACGGUGGUGAAGAGGUGAUGGGAGUUGUGGCUGUGAAAGGCGAGAGAGAAGCGGUCGAGUGCCUAAGGAAGAGAGAUGGUGAGGUCGAGUGCUGCUUUGGACGGAUGAUGAUGGCGUUGAAGUCGAGUGAUGGAGAAGAAGUCGAGUGAAGACGGGAUUGCAGAGAUGGGGAGGUUGCAUUUUUGAAGAGAGAAGGCUAUGGGAUCGAGUGAUGGGAUAAGGGGAGGUCGAGUGGAGUGGAGAAGACUAGGAUAGAUUUCGUUAUCACCUUGUGGGGAGCGUGGGAGACAUGGCUGCAGCAGUGGGUCCCUCGUUGUCUUCUUGUCUCUUCUCUGUAUUCUCUGUUCACUAGAAAAACUCCAGGAAAUCCCGCAAUCUUCGGUAAACUUGAUAAACUCCCUGGAAGACUCUGUAGCUCCUGUUGGUCGAGUAAAAUGAUGAUUUAAAAUUUUUUUGGGUUUUAAACAUCACUCAUACUCGACCAAUGUACUCGAUCUUUAGGUCAUCAGUAGAGUAAAAGUUUUAAAUUUUUACUCUAACUUCACGUUACUCCCUUUUUUUUUUUUCUGAGAACCACAAACACAACAAAUCAAAAAUAACAAGAAACUAA